UGAUCUGUUGAUUUGAACAUGGUUGGC
rnacentral:piRNA from 2 species